rnacentral:rRNA from 1 species
CGGCGUGCCUAAUACAUGCAAGUCGAGCGCAUUGAAGGGAGCUUGCUCCCGGAUGUGAGCGGCGGAUGGGUGAGUAACACGUGGGUAACCUGCCUGUCAGAUUGGGAUAACUGUGGGAAACCGCAGCUAAUACCGAAUGAUCCCCUGCACCACAUGGUGCAGGGUUGAAAGAUGGUUUCGGCCAUCACUGACAGAUGGGCCCGCGGUGCAUUAGUUAGUUGGCGGGGUAACGGCCCACCAAGACAGCGAUGCAUAGCCGACCUGAGAGGGUGAUCGGCCACAUUGGGACUGAGACACGGCCCAAACUCCUACGGGAGGCAGCAGUAGGGAAUCUUCCACAAUGGACGAAAGUCUGAUGGAGCAACGCCGCGUGAGCGAAGAAGGUUUUCGGAUCGUAAAGCUCUGUUGCCGGAGAAGAAUGAGUAUGAGAGGAAAUGCUUGUACUGUGACGGUAUCCGGCCAGAAAGCCACGGCUAACUACGUGCCAGCAGCCGCGGUAAUACGUAGGUGGCAAGCGUUGUCCGGAAUUAUUGGGCGUAAAGCGCGCGCAGGCGGCUUCUUAAGUCUGAUGUGAAAUCUUGCGGCUCAACCGCAAAUGGUCAUUGGAAACUGGGAAGCUUGAGUGCAGAAGAGGAGAGUAGAAUUCCACGUGUAGCGGUGAAAUGCGUAGAUAUGUGGAGGAAUACCAGUGGCGAAGGCGGCUCUCUGGUCUGUAACUGACGCUGAGGCGCGAAAGCGUGGGGAGCAAACAGGAUUAGAUACCCUGGUAGUCCACGCCGUAAACGAUGAAUGCUAGGUGUUAGGGGGUCCAACCCUUAGUGCUGAAGUUAACACAUUAAGCAUUCCGCCUGGGGAGUACGACCGCAAGGUUGAAACUCAAAGGAAUUGACGGGGGCCCGCACAAGCAGUGGAGCAUGUGGUUUAAUUCGAAGCAACGCGAAGAACCUUACCAGGUCUUGACAUCCUCUGACAAGUCUAGAGAUAGGCCGUUCCCCUUCGGGGGACAGAGUGACAGGUGGUGCAUGGUUGUCGUCAGCUCGUGUCGUGAGAUGUUGGGUUAAGUCCCGCAACGAGCGCAACCCUUGAUCUUAGUUGCCAGCAUUCAGUUGGGCACUCUAAGGUGACUGCCGGUGACAAACCGGAGGAAGGUGGGGGAUGACGUCAAAUCAUCAUGCCCCUUAUGAUCUGGGCUACACACGUGCUACAAUGGGUGGUACAAAGGGCAGCGAAACCGCGAGGUCAAGCGAAUCCCAUAAAGCCACCCCCAGUUCGGAUUGCAGGCUGCAACUCGCCUGCAUGAAGCCGGAAUUGCUAGUAAUCGCGGAUCAGCAUGCCGCGGGUGAAUCCGUUCCCGGGCCUUGUACACACCGCCCGUCACACCACGAAGAGUUUGUAACACCCCGAAGUCCGGUGCGAGAACCCUUUAUGGGCUCAG